UACAGAGGUCCCAAGCGUUGUUCGGAUUUACUGGGCGUAAAGGGCGCGUAGGCGGCUUGACAAGUCACUUGUGAAAUCUCCGGGCUUAACUCGGAACGGCCAAGUGAAACUGUCAUGCUAGAGUGCGGAAGGGGCAAUCGGAAUUCUUGGUGUAGCGGUGAAAUGCGCAGAUAUCAGGAAGAACACCGACGGCGAAGGCAGCUCGCUGGGACGGUACUGACGCUGAGACGCGAAAGCGUGGGGAGCGAACAGG
rnacentral:rRNA from 1 species